AAUAUAAAGAACAAAUACUUAGAAAUCAUUAGAACAAGUAACUAGAUGAAAAAUUGGAAAGUAUUUCUGGGAGGGAUAAGUUGUUGCUAUAUACUACAAUAAGAAGCCUGUUUUGAGCUUCUGAUAUAUGAAAUUACUCUCAUGUUAGCACAUCAAUGCAGAGUGCACGGAUUAAAAGGAGUCCUGCCCUCUCCAACUGUGGCAUUUUGCCCUCUGCAUAUCAUCCAGGGUCUUCUCUCACGCACCUAGGAGCAGCCCUCUGUGUACAGAAGAGGCAGUCUGGAUCUUUCAUCACAGAUGGUGACAUAGAACCACAGAAUCUUUAGGGUUGGAAAAGACUACUAUGAUCAUCUAGUCCAACCACCAACACAACGCAUCCUCUUGGUGGAAGCCAAAAAAAAACAAGCAAAAGUGAAAUUGUCAACCAUGUGCAGUAUUUUCAGUGUCUUCACUGCACUGAUCAUGGAUGUAGUGUACUGAAGGGGAGAAGCAUUUUGCAUCUGAUUUACCACAGCCACUCUUCAGUGAACAGUGUCCUGCAAAAUUCACUUCCAGCAUUUGGAGAGGUUUAAAAAUAUAUAUAUUUUUGAACCAAAAAGCACUGAAAGGGCUUCCAUAAUUUUUUGAA